rnacentral:rRNA from 1 species
GAGGAAUAUUGGUCAAUGGGCGCAAGCCUGAACCAGCCAAGUAGCGUGCAGGAAGACGGCCCUAUGGGUUGUAAACUGCUUUUAUACGAGAAUAAUUUGAUGCACGUGUGCGUUAUUGCAUGUAUCGUAUGAAUAAGGACCGGCUAAUUCCGUGCCAGCAGCCGCGGUAAUACGGAAGGUCCAGGCGUUAUCCGGAUUUAUUGGGUUUAAAGGGAGUGUAGGCGGUUUGUUAAGCGUGUUGUGAAAUUUAGAUGCUCAACAUUUAACUUGCAGCGCGAACUGUCAGACUUGAGUACACGCAACGUAUGCGGAAUUCAUGGUGUAGCGGUGAAAUGCUUAGAUAUCAUGAAGAACUCCGAUUGCGAAGGCAGCAUACGGGAGUGUAACUGACGCUUAAGCUCGAAGGUGCGGGUAUCGAACAGGAUUAGAUACCCCGGUAGUCCGCACAGUAAACGAUGGAUGCCCGCUGUUAGCGCCUGGCGUUAGCGGCUAAGCGAAAGCAUUAAGCAUCCCACCUGGGGAGUACGCCGGCAACGGUG